rnacentral:rRNA from 1 species
AGCUCCAAUAGCGUAUAUUAAAGUUGUUGCAGUUAAAAAGCUCGUAGUUGGAUUUCGGGACGGGCCGAUCGGUCGGCCGUGAGGUCUGUUACUGACCGGUCUGUCCUUCUUCGCAAAGCACGCUCGUGCUCUUCGUUGAGUGCGUGUGGGAUUUGCGACGUUUACUUUGAAAAAAUUAGAGUGUUCAAAGCAGGCUUUCACCGCUUGAAUACAUGAGCAUGGAAUAAUGGAAUAGGACUUCGGUUCUAUUUUGUUGGUUUCUGGAACCGAAGUAAUGAUUAAGAGGGACAAUUGGGGGCAUCCGUAUUUCGUUGUCAGAGGUGAAAUUCUUGGAUUUACGAAAGACGAACAACUGCGAAAGCAUUUGCCAAGAGUGUUUUCAUUAAUCAAGAACGAAAGU